AUUGAACGCUGGCGGCAUGCUUUACACAUGCAAGUCGAACGGCAGCGCGGGCUUCGGCCUGGCGGCGAGUGGCGAACGGGUGAGUAAUGCAUCGGAACGUGCCCAGUAGUGGGGGAUAGCCCGGCGAAAGCCGGAUUAAUACCGCAUACGACCUGAGGGUGAAAGCGGGGGACCGAAAGGCCUCGCGCUAUUGGAGCGGCCGAUGUCGGAUUAGCUAGUUGGUGGGGUAAAGGCUUACCAAGGCGACGAUCCGUAGCUGGUCUGAGAGGACGACCAGCCACACUGGGACUGAGAAACGGCCCAGACUCCUACGGGAGGCAGCAGUGGGGAAUUUUGGACAAAGGGGGCAACCCUGAUCCAGCCAUGCCGCGUGCGGGAAGAAGGCCUUCGGGUUGUAAACCGCUUUUGUUCGGGAAGAAAUCCUCUGGGCUAAUACCCCGGGGGGAUGACGGUACCGGAAGAAUAAGCACCGGCUAACUACGUG
rnacentral:rRNA from 1 species